rnacentral:rRNA from 1 species
UACGUAGGGGGCUAGCGUUGUCCGGAAUCAUUGGGCGUAAAGCGCGUGUAGGCGGUCCGGUAAGUCCGCUGUGAAAGUCGGGGGCUCAACCCUCGAAUGCCGGUGGAAACUGUCGGGCUAGAGUACGGAAGAGGCGAGUGGAAUUCCUGGUGUAGCGGUGAAAUGCGCAGAUAUCAGGAGGAACACCGAUGGCGAAGGCAGGUCACUGGGCCGCAACUGACGCUGAGGUGCGAAAGCGUGGGGAGCAAACAGG